GGUGGGGAUGACGUCAAGUCCUCAUGGCCCUUAUGGGUAGGGCUUCACACGUCAUACAAUGGUCGGUACAGAGGGUUGCCAAGCCGCGAGGUGGAGCCAAUCCCUUAAAGCCGAUCGUAGUCCGGAUCGUAGUCUGCAACUCGACUACGUGAAGUCGGAAUCGCUAGUAAUCGCAGAUCAGCAUGCUGCGGUGAAUACGUUCCCGGGUCUU
rnacentral:rRNA from 1 species